CCUACGGGAGGCAGCAGUGAGGAAUAUUGGUCAAUGGGCUGACGCCUGAACCAGCCAAGUCGCGUGAGGGAAGACUGCCCUAUGGGUUGUAAACCUCUUUUGUCAGGGAGCAACGCCGGCUACGUGUAGCCGGACUGAGAGUACCUGAAGAAAAAGCAUCGGCUAACUCCGUGCCAGCAGCCGCGGUAAUACGGAGGAUGCGAGCGUUAUCCGGAUUUAUUGGGUUUAAAGGGUGCGUAGGCGGACAGUCAAGUCAGCGGUAAAAAUGCGGUGCUCAACGCCGUACAGCCGUUGAAACUGGCAGUCUUGAGUGGGCGAGAAGUAUGCGGAAUGCGUGGUGUAGCGGUGAAAUGCAUAGAUAUCACGCAGAACUCCGAUUGCGAAGGCAGCAUACCGGCGCCCGACUGACGCUGAGGCACGAAAGCGUGGGUAUCGAACAGGAUUAGAUACCCUAGUAGUC
rnacentral:rRNA from 1 species